AUUGAACGCUGGCGGCAGGCUUAACACAUGCAAGUCGAGCGGGGGAAGGUAGCUUGCUACCGGACCUAGCGGCGGACGGGUGAGUAAUGCUUAGGAAUCUGCCUAUUAGUGGGGGACAACAUCUCGAAAGGGAUGCUAAUACCGCAUACGUCCUACGGGAGAAAGCAGGGGAUCUUCGGACCUUGUGCUAAUAGAUGAGCCUAAGUCGGAUUAGCUAGUUGGUGGGGUAAAGGCCUACCAAGGCGACGAUCUGUAGCGGGUCUGAGAGGAUGAUCCGCCACACUGGGACAGAGGCACGGCCCAGAAUCCUGCGGGGGGCAGCAGUGGGGAAUAUUGGACAAUGGGGGGAACCCUGAUCCAGCCAUGCCGCGUGUGUGAAGAAGGCCUUAUGGUUGUAAAGCACUUUAAGCGAGGAGGAGGCUACUCUAGUUAAUACCUAGGGAUAGUGGACGUUACUCGCAGAAUAAGCACCGGCUAACUCUGUGCCAGCCGCCGCCGUAA
rnacentral:rRNA from 1 species